UUCACUUUGCCAAGAAACUUUAAAUGCCCUUCUGUUCCUACUAGAACUACAGGUAUGUAGUUCCUAUAUUGAAAAUUCCAAUAUCUUGUGGAAAAGAAAAUGUUAUGUCUUUGCAGAAACAAAGACAAAACAGUAGAGCAGCUGUUUUGGUAUCAUAAACUAGGCACCGUAAACUAGGUCAGAGACACUACAUGAUGAUGGCACAUGGUAUUUAGUGAGGCAACAUCUUCAAAUGAAAUUUUGGUCCAUAAAUAGGAACUUGUAUUAAGAUAGUUCAGAGCAACUUGUCUUUUUUUUUUUUUUUUUUUUUUUUUUUAAGAUACAGUUUCAAUAGUUCAAAAAUGGAGUAUAUUUUCAGCUAUCCAGAUCUUUUAGCUUCCAAAGCCACUGGACACUUAUAGGCUUAAUACAAAAAAUCUGUUUUUUUUUUUUGGUUUUUUUUUGUUUUUUUUUUUCAGAGGAAGAAACACAAGCAGUUCUCAGUAACUGAAAUUUCAAAAAAUAAAAACGGACAUAGGUUUUAAGCCAAAGCAGUUAUGUUUGGAAAUGUUGAUGUCACUGUAAACCGCAAAAAUUAUUAAAACAUGGAUCAAAAGAAAUAAAAAGCAUGGAUUUGAUCCUAUACAUAAAUCUCUUACCAAGUUUGGAGAUGUAUUUGAUUACCUAAUUGGACAAGAUAGGUUCUUCAGAUCUGUUUUACAAAACCUGGGGGGAGGGGGAAUAGGAGUGUACCUAUUUUCCUUGAAAUGCAAAUAGGUACCAAAUGAUUAUUAUUUUUUUAAAUUUAAAUCAAGAGAAGUUAAGGAUCUAAUGUCCUCUGUGUUCAUAACUGCAUAGGAAAUAUCAUUAAACUUUGCUAUAUCUUUAGAUGCCAAAGUAAAUUUGAAACUGUGAUCACUGAAGUCUGUCCUGUUUCCAUAACAGUUAUUUGGGCAUUGUUGUUUACUUCCUUGGAAACAGCAUCAGACCCUAAUGUACAAUCAAAAUCAAUAGCAAAACCUUCAUCAACUUCCAGGAAAAACAGAUCAAGUUUUGCCUUGUGCAAGCAAAAAUGUCCAAUUUUCAUCUUUAAGAUAAUGCUAGGGGCCAGAGACAGCCACCAUGAUGACAGAGUAGAGAGUUGCCGUUAUGUGCUGCAGAGGAUGGUGCUAAUUGGAUCUUCAGGGAGGGAGAGUCUUUUCUCCUGGGUCAGGAAGUCCUCAUGCAGGCAGAUGGAAUUUAAAGAUUAUCCAGAAACACCAUCCAAAACUGUCUGUAUCUGGCAGUGAUGUUGAUCGUGGUGGGAGAAGAAGAUCCUGUUUAUAUUGUCCUUGCUGCAAGGGCGUAAAUUAUGGGAUGCAUACAAACCAACCCUCAGUCUCCAUGCACUUCUUGCAGGAGGUCUGUGUUUAUAAUUGCAUAAACCAUCUGUUUAGUGUUUGCAAAAUAAACACUUGCUUUUUUGAUAGUACA
rnacentral:lncRNA from 1 species